UCUGCUCUACCACGCAACAGAAGCAAACUCGCAGCACCCCUCCUCCUCGUCAGUCACCGCCUGGUCUUCUCGAUGGAGGUGGAGGAGUAGGGGAUCCCGCCGGAUCAGAGGCGUGCGGGCACCGUGGCGGGUGUCUCCGGCAGCGACGGCGACCUGCAGCUACGGCGGGUGCGCUCGAUUUAGUGCAGCGCCAUGGACCAGUCCCUGCAGAAGUGAGAGAAGAUGAGGGAGAGAGAGAAGGAAGGAGAGGAGCAUCGAUGGUGGUUCGAGCGCUGCCGCCUCCAUCCUCGCACCAUCUUCGUCACACGCAGCCGCCUCCUUCCGCACCCCUCUUCUUCGCGCAUGGCAACAGAGGCAAGUCCUGUCAGGGAAUAAUAUUAUUCAGUUAGCAUCUUUUUCGUGGAAGAGGAGUGAGAAUUUAAAGGUGCAUGCUACAUAGAAGCUUAGAUCUGUAAUCAAGCUGUGGAAGAGAAUACUGUAAGAGAUACUUCUAUAAGUAGAGACUUGUUGUUUUUCAUUCAGUUGAAGAGCUCUCCAUGCUUAAGAUCUUUUCUAGGAUAAUUGCGUCGUUAAAUAUGAAGUUCAGGAUUCGCUCAUGUGCCAAAGCCAGCUCGGGGAAGCCUUCCUGGACUCCUGGUUGACCACGACAAUCACGACACGGUGAGUGGAUUUUGAAUCUUUCUUGAGCCGUCGGAUCGGAUUAGAUGUGUAUAUGGUAGUUAUGGACUGCUAACUGCUUAAUGUUGUGUUUCCUCUGUGUACUAUGGUGUGAGCUUAAGCGAGCGGAACGCCGAAGGAGGAUCUUGGGGAUGACGGAGGCAUCGACGACAACCUCAAAGGCGAGAGUCCCCUCCUCCUUGGUUGCCGCUCUCGUCCUCUGACGAAGGACCAUGGGGCUUGCAGCUGUGCCUGAGCCCCCACAAGGACGUUGGGUGGAGGAUAUCCGGUGCCAACGGGCCGCUCAUGUCGGUGUCCGAGAUAUCGGAGCUGUCGGAGUCAACGGUCAUCGUCCGGAGACGGGUCGAUGGGGGAUGCUAUGAUGAAUUGGCCCGUGGAUAAGAAUAUUUUAGUCACUGGAGAGAUUGUUGAACAUGUGACAUUGAUGCAAAUCUCUGGCCACCUACGGGGGAAACUGCUUGAAAACCAAGUUUGAAUAUGUACGAGGGCAGUGAAUUUCGGCAUGCGAGUUUACUUGCAGUCUCUGACCCUAAUGUAAUCAGUCCCAGUAGUGAGGGAAAGGCACUGCCAACGAGGAUGUGGAGGAGAACAAGGUCGAGCCGGAUUGGUGAAGGGUGUUGAGGCUGGCUCUCUCUCCUCCUCGUCUUCGACAGUGUGAAGAAGAUCGAUGUUGAAAUGGAUGCAUGCUGCAGGAGAAGUAGAGGCGUCUUCUGAGCCUUGGGUUCUUCAUCGAUCUGUUUGUGCGUGCUCUUGGUCGCAUGCACGCCUAAGAGUCGAAUACUUAAGUGGUUGAGGAAAGCUUCACAUACAACAGUGGCAAACAUCUCCAUUGAUGCUACAAAGCAUCUCGAUGAUUUUGAAGAUCGAUGGAUGGGAGGUGGGACACGAUUUUGUGUGGACACCUCUGUAUGCUCCAAGACUUAACUCUGUUGAUUUAUGGCAUGGUGAUUGGUGAUUGAUUUUGAUUGCAUGGGAAUUCUGGGGAGAGCAGUGGAAAAGCUAUGGGGAACUUGUGUGUUAAUGACGCUAGCAGUGAGGGUUUCUUUUGAGCUUCUCUUCGCUUCUCCUUAAUAAUCGGACCUUCCUGCUAUGCUUAGUGAAUUUCGAUAUUUUGAUGAUGCAAGCAUUGUUGUUUCUAGUGGCUGCAAGGAUUUCCUUUGGGCACAUUUUCUUCUAGCUUAAUUAGUCAGGAUCGUUGAUUUUAUAAACAAUAUUCAGACUGUUCCUUGUAUUAGCAAAAAUCAGAUAAGAAUUGAAUUAUUGUACUUAAAGACAACCUGAAUGUCUUGUGCCAUGCAAAAGAGAUGCUCUGCAUUUCCUUUCACCUCCUGUUUGGCCAAAGCAACUACCUAUUGUGG